rnacentral:lncRNA from 1 species
UUUUUUUUUUUUUUACUGUUGAGAUUUGAAAUUUCUUUAGAUAUUCUUGAUACUAGUUCUUCAUCAGAUACAUGCUUUCAAAGAUUUUCUCCCACACUGUAUAGCUUCUGUUCUCAUCCUCUUAACAGGAUCUCUUAAAGAAGAGAUGUUUUUAAUUUGACGAUGUUCAUCGUGCGAGUUUUUUUCUUUUAUAGAUUAUGCUUUUGGUGUUAAGUCUACAAGUUCUUUGCCUAGCCCUAGAUCCUGAAGAUUUUCUACUAUGCUUUUCUUUGAAACUUUUAUAGUUUUAUGUAUUGCAUUUAAGCCUUUGAUCUAUUUUGAGUCAAUUUGUGUACAAGGUAGGAGGCUUAGGCUAAGUUUUUUUUCCUUUGCCUGUGGUUGUCAAUUACUCUUAACCCAAUUUGUCAAAAAAGAUAUAUCUUUCCUCCAUUCAGGAGUGUUGCAUUUCUGUCAAAAAUCGGCAGUUGUACAGACUUGUGUGGAUCUGUUUGGGGGUUCACUCUUCCAGUCCAUUGGUCCAUGUGUCCAUUCUUCCAUCACUAUCAUGUAGUCUUGAUUACCAUAGCUGUGUAAUAAGUCUUAUAAUCAGUUAGACUUAUUCCUCCCACUGAAUUAUUUCUUUUUCAGAAUUAUUGUAGGUGUUAAACUUCCUUUGCCUUUCUCCAUAAAUUUUAGAAUAAUAUUACGAAAAAAACCUGUAGUUUUUCUAGGCAUUGCAUUAAACUUAUAAUAGGGAGACUUAACAUCUUUUCUGUGUUGUCAUCCAAACCUUGCUGAUAGUCUGUCUCUCCAUUUAUUUACAUCUCCUUUGAAUUCUUUCAUCAGCAUUGUGCAGAUUUCAGCAUGUAAGUCCUAACCACAUCCAAGUAUUUGGGGCUUUUUUACUUUUUUUGGAAGUUGCAAACAGUAUUGUAAUUUUUAUUUUGGUGCCCAUGAGUUUAUUGUCAGUAUAUACAAAUACAAUUGAUUUGUAUAUGUUUAUCUUAUAUUUUGCAACCUUAGUGAACUUGCUAGUUCUAGUUUUUUUUAAUAGAUUUCUUAAUUUUCUAUAUAGAUAAUGAUGUCAUCUGCAAAUAGGAUAUUUUUAUCUAUUCCAUUAUAGUAUAUAUGUCUUUUAUUUCUUUUUAUUGUCUUCAUAAACUGGCUAUGAUUUCCAACACUUUGUUGACUAGGAAUGGAGAGCAGAUAUCUUUGUCUUGCACUGAUCUUUGGGGGAAAGCGUUCAGUCUUUGACAAUCAAGUAUGAUGUCUGCUGUCGGUCUUUUGUACUUUGUUUGUCAAGUAAGGAACUUACCCUCUUCAUACCCUUGUUUUUCCAAGAGCUUUGAUCACAAAUGACUGACACAUGCUUUUCCUUCAUCAUCUGUUAGUAUUAUUUUACUUUUCUUCAUAUGCUUGCUAAUAUGGUGGACUACAUUGCCUGAUUUUCAAGUAUUUAACCUGAUUUGUAUCCUUAGAAUGAACUCUACCUGAUCUUUGUGUAUAGUUUAUAUACAUAUGAAUUCUAUUUGCUAAUAUUUUAUUAAGGAUUUCUAUCUUCAUGAGCGAUGUUUUUAUGUGGUUUUCUUUUCUAUGAGCUGUCUUUGUCUAACUUUGGUAUCAUGGUGACACUAGCUUCAAGAAUAACAUGGGGAAGUGUUCCCUCCUGUUCCAUUUUAUGGAAGAGACUGUGUAGAAGGGGUGUAAAUUCUUUCAGUUUUGAUUUCAGGGUUGCACAUUCUCCAGCCAAAAAUCUGGACCUGGAGAUUUAUCUUUAGAGUGUUAUAAAAUUAUGAAUUCAUUUCCCUAAUAAUUAUAGGGCUAUUCAAACUAUUUCAUGUGGGUGAAUUGUGGUAGUUUAUGUUUUUUGAGGAAAUGGUCCAUUCCCCUACAUUGUCAAAUAUACGUAGGUAAAGUCAUUAAUGGUAUCUCUUUAUUGCCUUUCAUGUCUGCAGGGCCAAUACUCAUGUCCCCUGUUUCAUUCCUAAUAUUAGUAAAUUGCAUACUCUUUUUAUUUUCUUUGUCAGUCUUGCUAAAUAGUUGUGAUUUUAUUGAUUUUUAUAAAGCUCUAUUUUUGUAUUUGCAAUUGCAGUAUUUUCUGCUCUUAUCUUCAUUAUUUCCUUCCUUUUACUUGUUCUUGGUUUAUUUUGCUCUGUUAUUUCUAGGUUCUUGAGGUGAAAAUUUAUAUUUUGAUUUGAGACUUUUCUUCUUUUCUAAUACAUGCAUUUAGUGUUAUAAAUUUCCUUCUCAGUAUUCCUUUCGCCAUGUUCCACAGAUUUUCAUGUGUUGUAUAUUGUCAUUCAGUUCAAUAUUUUUUCUUAUUUCUCUUGAGACUUCCCUAUGAUCUAUGGAUUUCUGAGACGUGGACUGCUUAGUUCCAGUAUGUUUAGGUAUUUUCUUAUUAUCUUUCUGAAACCGAUUGUAGUUUAAUGGCACUGUGAUUUGAGAACAUACUCUGUGUAAUUUUAAUUCUCUUAAAUUUAUUGAGGUUUGUUUUACCCACAAGAUAGGGAUUAUUUUGGUAUAUGUUCCAUGGGUACUGGAAAAACCUUUGUAUUUUGCUGUGUUGAGGAGAAUGUUCUAUAAAUGUCUAUUAAGUCCUGUUGAUGGAUGAUGUUGCUGAGUUCUUCUAUACACUUGCUGUUUUUCUGUCUAGUUAUUCUAUCAGAGUCCUCUUAUGUUUGUCUUAUAUAUAAAGAACAGAGAUUCCAGCAGGAGGAAUUUUUUAAAAGUAUACCUACUCUAUCUACCUAGAAGGAGAAGUCAGUGUUGGCUUAUAUAUAUAUAUUUUAUAUUUUACUUAUGAGUCAAUUUUUAUACCUCCUGCAACAGUAAAAUGCAGAAGAAAAACUUCCUCAGGUUUUUUCAUUUUGGUAGGGAAUCACCAUUUCUUUACUCUUGAGUCCUGUGGGGUGUUUUGUUUUGUUUUGUUUUAUUGCUUUUCACUCAGCUCUUUAUCAAAUCCUGCAGAUGUUCAUGUCAGGCACGUGUGUGCAUUUGUGCCUGUGUGCAUUUGUGCCUGUGUGUGUGUGUGUGUGUAUGAUAAUAAAUAAUUUGAACCCAUCCUGAAUCUCUACUGCCAACUGAUUUUGCAAUGAAUGGGGGUCCUUAAAAGCCUAAU